GAUGAAGAACGCAGCGAAAUGCGAUAAGUAAUGUGAAUUGCAGAAUUCAGUGAAUCAUCGAGUUUUUGAACGCAUAUUGCGCCCUCUGGUAUCCCUGGGGGCAUGCCUGUUCGAGCGUCAUUAAAUAACCCUCAAGCAUAGCUUGGUGUUGGGCUUUUUUACGUCCUUGACUGGGAUGGGCCUAAAAAUUAGUGGCGAUGGCUUUUUUACUUUCAAGCGUAGUAAAUCUCGUCUUGCUAAAGAGGAAAAAGAUUUUUUUUCUGCCAAAAAUUUUAACAUUUAAAGUUGACCUCGGAUCAGGUAGGAUUACCCGCUGAACUUAAGCAUAUCAAUAAGCGGAGGA
rnacentral:misc_RNA from 1 species